GUCAGGGAACUACGAGCAAAGCUUAAAACCCAAAGGACUUGACGGUACCCCAUAUCCCCCUAGAGGAGCCUGUCCUACAAUCGAUAAUCCCCGCUUAACCUCACCGCAUCUAGCUAAUCAGUCUGUAUACUUCCGUCGCCAGCCAACCACGUGAGCGAAGCUUAGUUUGCCCAAUGUCCACACAUAAAUGUGUACAAGUCGUCAACACGUCAGGUCAAAGUGCAGCAAACGAUGCGGGAAGAGAUGGGCUACACUCUUUAAUAUAAAAGAAACGAAUGACAAAAUGAAACUUUGUCGGAAGGCGGAUUUAGAAGUAAAAGGAAAGUAUUAAAUUUCUUUUAACCCGGCACUGGGGUGUGU
rnacentral:rRNA from 1 species